rnacentral:rRNA from 1 species
AGCGAACGCUGGCGGCAGGCUUAACACAUGCAAGUCGAACGGGCGUAGCAAUACGUCAGUGGCAGACGGGUGAGUAACACGUGGGAACGUACCUCUUGGUUCGGAACAACACAGGGAAACUUGUGCUAAUACCGGAUAAGCCCUUACGGGGAAAGAUUUAUCGCCGAGAGAUCGGCCCGCGUCUGAUUAGCUAGUUGGUAGGGUAAUGGCCUACCAAGGCGACGAUCAGUAGCUGGUCUGAGAGGAUGAUCAGCCACAUUGGGACUGAGACACGGCCCAAACUCCUACGGGAGGCAGCAGUGGGGAAUAUUGGACAAUGGGGGCAACCCUGAUCCAGCCAUGCCGCGUGAGUGAUGAAGGCCCUAGGGUUGUAAAGCUCUUUUGUGCGGGAAGAUAAUGACGGUACCGCAAGAAUAAGCCCCGGCUAACUUCGUGCCAGCAGCCGCGGUAAUACGAAGGGGGCUAGCGUUGCUCGGAAUCACUGGGCGUAAAGGGUGCGUAGGCGGGUCUUUAAGUCAGGGGUGAAAUCCUGGAGCUCAACUCCAGAACUGCCUUUGAUACUGAAGAUCUUGAGUAUGGGAGAGG